GCGAGGUUAAGUUCUGAAGGAACGGAGCCGAAGGGAAACCAAGUCUUAAUAGGGCGAGUAGUCAGUCGGAGUAGACCCGAAACCGGGUGAUCUAUCCAUGUCCAGGUUGAAGUUGCCGUAAAAGGCAAUGGAGGACCGAACCCACAUCCGUUGAAAAGGGUGGGGAUGAGGUGUGGAUAGGGGAGAAAUUCCAAUCGAACCCGGAGAUAGCUGGUUCUCCUCGAAAUAGCUUUAGGGCUAGCCUCAUACGAGUCUUGCGGAGGUAGAGCACUGAAUUCCUAAGGGGGCGUCAAAGCUUACUAAGGGAUAUCAAACUCCGAAUGCCGUGUAGAUGAUGUAUGGGAGUCAGACGAUCCGAGAUAAGUUGGGUGGUCAAAAGGGAAAGAGCCCAGACCAACAGCUAAGGCCCCAAAAUGUGUGUUAAGUGGAAAAGGAUGUGGGAUUUCGAAGACAACUAGGAUGUUGGCUCAGAAGCAGCCAUUCAUUCAAAGAGUGCGUAAUAGCUCACUAGUCGAGAGGUCCUGCGCCGAAAAUGUCCGGGGCUAAAACACACUGCCGAAGCUUUGGAAUUGAGAAUUCAAUUGGUAGAGGAGCAUUCUUAAAGGGACGAAGCAGUACCGUAAGGAGCUGUGGACUUUUAAGAAGAGAGAAUGCCGGAAUGAGUAGCGAGAGGAAGGUGGGAAUCCUUCCGGCCGAAUAUCUAAGGUUUCCAGAGUAAAGCUGAUCUGCUCUGGGUAAGUCGGGGCCUAAGGCGAGGUCGAAAGACGUAGUCGAUGGAUAACAGGUUGAAAUUCCUGUACUAUCCUGUAACAGAACUGUGGGGACACAGGCAGAGAGCGUGAGCCGGGAAUGGAAAGACCGGUACAAGCGAGGUAGGAGUCUGGUUGGCAAAUCCGCCAGGCAAUCUGAAGACGUGAUGUGGACUGAAAAUAAGUAGGGAAGCACGUGAGCUGACUGUCAAGAAAAGCCGCUAUUGUUUGCAGGAUACCCGUACCGUAAACCGACACAGGUGGAUGAGGAGAGAAUCCUAAGGCCGACGGGAGAAGCAUUGUUAAGGAACUCGGCAAAAUGACUCCGUAACUUCGGGAGAAGGAGUGCCAGUAAGAUGGCCGCAGAGAAUUGGCCCAAGCAACUGUUUAGCAAAAACACAGGUCUAUGCAAAACCGAAAGGUGAGGUAUAUGGGCUGACGCCUGCCCGGUGCUGGAAGGUUAAGGGGAGAGGUUAGCGCAAGCGAAGCUUUGAACUUAAGCCCCAGUAAACGGCGGCCGUAACUAUAACGGUCCUAAGGUAGCGAAAUUCCUUGUCGGGUAAGUUCCGACCCGCACGAAAGGCGUAAUGAUUUGAGCGCUGUCUCGACAAUGCACCCGGUGAAAUUGAAAUACCAGUGAAGAUGCUGGUUACCUGCGCCAGGACGGAAAGACCCCAUGGAGCUUUACUCCAGCUUGAUACUGGGAUUCGGUAUUGCAUGUACAGGAUAGGUGGGAGGCUAGGAAAUGGUAACGCCAGUUGCCAUGGAGCCACUGUUGGGAUACCACCCUUGCAGUACUGGGUUUCUAACCAGCAGCCGUGAUCCGGCUGGGGGACAAUGUCAGGUGGGGAGUUUGACUGGGGCGGUCGCCUCCGAAAGGGUAUCGGAGGCGCUCAAAGGUUCCCUCAGAAUGGUUGGAAACCAUUCGAAGAGUGCAAAGGCAGAAGGGAGCUUGACUGCGACACCGACGGGUGGAGCAGGUACGAAAGUAGGACUUAGUGAUCCGGUGGUAUAAAGUGGGAUUGCCAUCGCUCAACGGAUAAAAGCUACCCUGGGGAUAACAGGCUUAUCACUCCCAAGAGUUCACAUCGACGGAGUGGUUUGGCACCUCGAUGUCGGCUCAUCGCAUCCUGGGGCUGAAGUAGGUCCCAAGGGUUGGGCUGUUCGCCCAUUAAAGCGGUACGCGAGCUGGGUUCAGAACGUCGUGAGACAGUUCGGUCCCUAU
rnacentral:rRNA from 1 species